rnacentral:rRNA from 1 species
AUCAAAACCGCAUGGUUUUGAUUUGAAAGGCGCUUUCGGGUGUCGCUGAUGGAUGGACCCGCGGUGCAUUAGCUAGUUGGUGAGGUAACGGCUCACCAAGGCCACGAUGCAUAGCCGACCUGAGAGGGUGAUCGGCCACAUUGGGACUGAGACACGGCCCAAACUCCUACGGGAGGCAGCAGUAGGGAAUCUUCGGCAAUGGACGAAAGUCUGACCGAGCAACGCCGCGUGAGUGAAGAAGGUUUUCGGAUCGUAAAACUCUGUUGUUAGAGAAGAACAAGGAUGAGAGUAACUGUUCAUCCCUUGACGGUAUCUAACCAGAAAGCCACGGCUAACUACGUGCCAGCAGCCGCGGUAAUACGUAGGUGGCAAGCGUUGUCCGGAUUUAUUGGGCGUAAAGCGAGCGCAGGCGGUUUCUUAAGUCUGAUGUGAAAGCCCCCGGCUCAACCGGGGAGGGUCAUUGGAAACUGGGAGACUUGAGUGCAGAAGAGGAGAGUGGAAUUCCAUGUGUAGCGGUGAAAUGCGUAGAUAUAUGGAGGAACACCAGUGGCGAAGGCGGCUCUCUGGUCUGUAACUGACGCUGAGGCUCGAAAGCGUGGGGAGCAAACAGGAUUAGAUACCCUGGUAGUCCACGCCGUAAACGAUGAGUGCUAAGUGUUGGAGGGUUUCCGCCCUUCAGUGCUGCAGCUAACGCAUUAAGCACUCCGCCUGGGGAGUACGACCGCAAGGUUGAAACUCAAAGGAAUUGACGGGGGCCCGCACAAGCGGUGGAGCAUGUGGUUUAAUUCGAAGCAACGCGAAGAACCUUACCAGGUCUUGACAUCCUUUGACCACUCUAGAGAUAGAGCUUCCCCUUCGGGGGCAAAGUGACAGGUGGUGCAUGGUUGUCGUCAGCUCGUGUCGUGAGAUGUUGGGUUAAGUCCCGCAACGAGCGCAACCCUUAUUGUUAGUUGCCAUCAUUCAGUUGGGCACUCUAGCAAGACUGCCGGUGACAAACCGGAGGAAGGUGGGGAUGACGUCAAAUCAUCAUGCCCCUUAUGACCUGGGCUACACACGUGCU